GAGAGCUUCUUAUUUGUCUUUCAUUUUUGACCGGUGGAUCUAGGUUACUCUCUCCCUUUUGUUCUCAAUGUGAGGGGAUUUGAAGUAGGCGCGCUUGUUUUCCGGCUAGUGAGAGUGCUUGGAUGAUGAUGGAUCAUCCCCUCGAUUUGCAAUCUCAUCGUGAAUCACUCAGAUCUGUCUUCCCUGAGUUGCAAUGGAGUCUGACAAAACAUACGAUGAUGAUGAUGAUAAAGGGGAUAAAAAUAUCAUUCAGUAUUAUGGCGUGUGUUGAACUAUGCCCAUCAAAUCAAUGAUAUACCAAAGACCAAAGCGGCAAUGGACUGAGACGAGCAAAAGAGGUUCAAGCAAACUAUCCAAUUAAUUUCCUAGUUUUGUCAUGUUUAUGUUAUUAUUUAAUCAAUAAUAAUGACUUUUUUUUAAUUUAAUGGAAAGUUUGUAAGUUGGGCCUUGUAAGUUCUAAGUGGAAUGACUAAUUUUGUAGGUGGAAUCAAAACCUAGUGAAGUCUAUGCUCGAUUCCUGACUCAGGAAUUGAUCCAAGGGUUCCUGAUGCAACCAAACCUGAAAUAUUAACCACCUCUGUUACUAACACGCAUGGAAUUCUCACAAAGAAACAAAGUCCUAUUCAUUCAUCUAUGAUUUCAAGCCAAACCAUGCAUCUAGGGUGGUUGCGACGGCUAGUCAUGCAGUCAUGAUUGGCAACAUGUUUCUAGUCUAUUACAAACCCACAAGUCUUUGGUUUUGAUGUUCAUGACAAUGUAUGCUAAUUGCUGACAACGUGAAGCCUAAUAUAAUUUAUGUUGGCAUUGAGGAUGGAGACAAUCUAGAUGUUGUCACAAGCACAAAUUCAAAGAAAAAUCUCAUUCCAAAAUACUAGCCUGUUUGGAGAAAGAAUUCCUCAC